rnacentral:rRNA from 1 species
AAUCAACGCUGGCGGCGUGCCUCAGACAUGCAAGUCGAACGAUUAAAGCUCCCUUCGGGGAGUGCAUAGAGUGGCGCACGGGUGAGUAACACGUAAGUAAUCUACCCUCGGAUGGGGAAUAACAGUCGGAAACGACUGCUAAUACCGCAUAAUGCAGCGGCACCGCAAGGUGACAGUUGUUAAAGGAGCAAUCCGUCUGGGGAGGAGCUUGCGGCAGAUAGCUUGUUGGUAAGGUAACGGCUUACCAAGGCUACGAUCUGUAUCCGGUCUAAGAGGACGGUCGGACACACUGACACUGAAUAACGGGUCAGACUCCUACGGGAGGCAGCAGUCGGGAAUUUUGGGCAAUGGGCGAAAGCCUGACCCAGCAACGCCGCGUGAAGGAUGAAGUAUUUCGGUA